AAGUUACGUGAAAUUGUGUCGUGAGGAAGAAGAAGUUGACUUCAUUCAUUGGUUUAGUUGUUAGAGUACCGGU
rnacentral:sRNA from 1 species